AUUGAACGCUGGCGGCAGGCCUAACACAUGCAAGUCGAGCGGAUGAAGGGAGCUUGCUCCUGGAUUCAGCGGCGGACGGGUGAGUAAUGCCUAGGAAUCUGCCUGGUAGUGGGGGAUAACGUCCGGAAACGGGCGCUAAUACCGCAUACGUCCUGAGGGGGAAAGUGGGGGAUCUUCGGACCUCACGCUAUCAGAUGAGCCUAGGUCGGAUUAGCUAGUUGGUGGGGUAAAGGCCUACCAAGGCGACGAUCCGUAACUGGUCUGAGAGGAUGAUCAGUCACACUGGAACUGAGACACGGUACAGACUCCUACGGGAGGCAGCAGUGGGGAAUAUUGGACAAUGGGCGAAAGCCUGAUACAGCCAUGCCGCGUGUGUGAAGAAGGUCUUCGGAUGGUAAAGCACUUUAAGUUGGGAGGAAGGGCAGUAAGUUAAUACCUUGCUGUUUUGACGUUACCAACAGAAUAAGCACCGGCUAACUUCGUG
rnacentral:rRNA from 1 species